CGCCGAGGUGGCGGGCGUCGACCCCGGGCUCUUCACCCGGAAGCUGGCCGGGCGCGGCCGGGUCUGCGGGGUGCAGUUCCGGCCCGGCGGC
rnacentral:tRNA from 5 species